CCUACGGGUGGCAGCAGUGAGGAAUAUUGGUCAAUGGUCGGGAGACUGAACCAGCCAAGCCGCGUGAGGGAGGAAGGUACAGAGUAUCGUAAACCUCUUUUGUCAGGGAACAAAGGCGGGGACGUGUCCCCGGAUGAGUGUACCUGAAGAAAAAGCAUCGGCUAACUCCGUGCCAGCAGCCGCGGUAAUACGGAGGAUGCGAGCGUUAUCCGGAUUUAUUGGGUUUAAAGGGUGCGCAGGCGGUCUGUUAAGUCAGCGGUGAAAGCCCGGGGCUCAACCCCGGCCCGCCGUUGAAACUGGCAGUCUCGAGUUGGAGAGAAGUAUGCGGAAUGCGCGGUGUAGCGGUGAAAUGCAUAGAUAUCGCGCAGAACUCCGAUUGCGAAGGCAGCAUGCCGGCUCCACACUGACGCUGAGGCACGAAAGCGUGGGUAUCGAACAGGAUUAGAUACCCCAUUAGUC
rnacentral:rRNA from 1 species